rfam:Gossypium arboreum cultivar AKA8401 contig_374_13, whole genome shotgun sequence.
AACCCAUGGUGGGGGCACCUUCUCAAAAGAUCCUUGUAUCUCUCUCCCAUGCAUCAUAAAGUGUUUCUAAAUCCAUCUGCACAAAAGAAGAGAUAUCAUUGCGUAAUUU